rnacentral:tRNA from 2 species
GGAGCCGUAGUUCAGUUGGUUAGAACGCCAGCCUGUCACGUUGGAGGUCGCGGGUUCAAGUCCCGUCGGCUCCGCCA